UUUCUUCAUUUUCAAUAAUUAUGAGUUCGUCAAAUCUAUUUUUAGAUGCUUACCAUUUAUCAAUCUUUUAUGGGGAGCGUCACUUAGGAUUAGGAUUCUAAGAUUUGAAGGCAGUGGUACAGCUCAAGGAUGGGAUUCCUAGCUUUCUUACAAAUAUUGCUGGAACAAUUUUGAGCACUAGAGAAAAUUCUGGAUGACAUGAGAGAAUGGGGCAACAAUGUUCAGGUUUCCUUAUCAUUAUGCACUCAAUACAUAACGCUAUAAUUCUGUCUUUGAUUGGAUUCUUACUUGUAGGUCCCUGUAUCAGGAUAUUCAAAAUUAAUAAGCUUUGGCUUGAGUCAUCAUUACCUUGAGUAUAUAAAAGGUGCUAAUGAUUUUGCAUAGUGAGCUCUUAAUCAUUUCUGACCUGCUAAAGGUAGGAUGAUUAAUAUAUAUUUUGCAUUUAUAACUCUUAAUCAGCAUGUUAAGCCCCUGAAAACUUGUGAAGAUUGGGCUCCCUCUUUGAUACAAAUUCAUUGAAGAUCAUAUAUCAAAGUUAAAAAGCUGUAGAGUAAGUGGAAUAGCUUAAAUCAAUGUGCCUACUGUAUGUAGCAGCAACUCUUAUCAUCUACAUUUCCAAGCUAGAUGAAUUGCUGAAUGGUUAGUUGGGAAUUCAAAAAGUCCAUCAAGGGGACUUAAUUAGCAACCACAAAUUCUACAAUCCCAACUCUAUUAAGUAAUGUGACACAUACACAUAUCUGUCUCCAUCAGUAUGUGGUGUCUCUUUCUCAUUCACAAUUUUUGAAGCAAAUUCAAGAGGAAAUUCAAUGUUGAACUUGAGAGCUUGGGGACGAGGAUGGAAAUAGUGAUGUAUUGGGGAACUGAGGUCUUUCCUAAUAGGGACUUCAAUGUGCAAGGAUGAAACAACAUCAUUUUUGGGGAUUGGUAUUAUUCCUUGGGUUACUGUUUGAGAAGGUGUUGAAAUUCUCCAGAGAGAAGCCCAUCCCCAUGUAAGUCACCAGAGCAACCGGUGGAGGCUUUUAGGGUGGAACGCUGCCAAACCUGUAAAGCUGUGACAAUCAUAUCAGUAGAGCACAGUGUACUCUGCUUCAGACUUUCCACCAACACCAUGCUGAACACCCCAAUGGAUCUCAUAACCUUCCGCCUCACUCUGAACACACAACCUCGCAAACUCUUGGCCCCUCUAUCAACAGAAUGGAUGACCGGUCAUGCCCAUUUGACCAAUCCUUUUAACUUCCUCUCAAUGAAGAUACUAGUUUGGAAUUGUACCGGUGCUGGCAACCCAAACUUUUGUAGAAAUUUCACUGAUAUGGUCUGCCCCCACCGUCCCUCCAUUGCCAUUAUUUUGGAGACCCGCAUUUCUGGCCAAAGGGCAGACUCUGUUAGCUCUUCUCUUGGCUUUGACAAUGUCUGUUGGACCCGGGCUUCAAUGGACCUCAUUUUACUUGGUCAAAUAAAAGAGACUCCAACCUUGUCAUGCCCUUGAUAGAGUCCUCUGAAACCCUCUUUGGAAAACCCUUUUUGAAGAGGCCAAUGUCCUUCAUCUCCCAAAAAUUUCCUUUGACCAUCCCCCAUCCUCAUUAACAACUCCCUUUCCUCUCACUCCUUCAAUCAAAUAUCCAACUGCAAAGGUAAUCAUUGCGUGGAUCUUUUGGCAAAGGAAGGGAAUUUAUCAAAUUAUUUUGUUUUAUUUCACUCCAAUCCCCCUUCUUCUAUUUUGUACCAGUUUUUAGUUGAUGCUUGGAGCAUUGUUUACCCCAAAUUUUGUAAUUCUUAGUUUUUUUUAAUAAAAGUUCUAGUUAACCAAAACAAUAAAAAUUUGAUACU